rnacentral:rRNA from 1 species
UGGCGAACGGGUGAGUAACGUGUAUGUAAUUUGCCUACGAGUGGGGAAUAGGUCCGGGAAACCGGAAUUAAUACCGCAUAACGUCAUGCUCCGAUGGGAGUGUGAUCAAAGGUGGGGACCUUCGGGCCCAUCGCUUGUAGAUAAGCCUGCAUACUGAUUAGUUAGUUGGUAGGGUAACGGCCUACCAAGACCGCGAUCAGUAGCUGUACUAAGAGGAAGAUCAGCCACAUUGGGACUGAGAUACGGCCCAGACUCCUACGGGAGGCAGCAGUGAGGAAUUUUGCGCAAUGGGAGAGAUCCUGACGCAGCAACGCCGCGUGAACGAUUGAAGCUUAUAGGAGUGUAAAGGUCUGUCGUGAGGGAAGAAAAAGACCGAGAAUAAUAAGUUCGGUAAUUGACGGUACCUCACAAGCAAGCUCCGGCUAACUUCGUGCCAGCAGACGCGGUAAUACGAGGGGAGCAAGCGUUGUCCGAAAUAACUGGGCGUAAAGGGUACGUAGGCUUUUUGGUAGGUUUCCGGUGAAUUCACAGGCUCAACUUGUGACUUGCCGGGAAAACUGCAGAGAUUGAAUCCGGAAGGGGAAAGCGGAAUUCCUGGUGUAGCGGUGAAAUGCGUAGAUAUCAGGAGGAACACCAGUGGCGAAGGCGGCUUUCUGGUCCGGAAUUGACGCUGAGGUACUAAAGCGUGGGUAGCAAACAGGAUUAGAUACCCUGGUAGUCCACGCCCUAAACGAUGGAUACUUGAUGUCGGGAUGUUCGGUCGUCUCGGUGUCGUAGCUAACGUGUUAAGUAUCCCGCCUGGGGACUACGGUCGCAAGACUGAAACUCAAAGGAAUUGACGGGGGCCCGCACCAGCGGUGGAACAUGUGGUUUAAUUCGACGCAACGCGAAGAACCUUACCUGGGCUUGACAUAUAUAUGAAGUAUGUAAGAAAUUAUGUAUUCUGUCUGCUUUUGCAGGUAGCAUAUAUACAGGUGAUGCAUGGCUGUCGUCAGCUCGUGUCGUGAGAUGUAGGGUUAAGUCCCUUAACGAGCGCAACCCUUGCUUUUAGUUGCCAUCAGGUAAUGCUGGGGACUCUAGAAGGACUGCCGAGGUUAACUCGGAGGAAGGUGGGGAUGACGUCAAGUCAGUAUGUCCCUUAUGUCCAGGGCUACACACGUGUUACAAUGGACGGUACAGAGUGCAGCUACGCCGUGAGGCUACGCAAAUCACUUAAAGCCGUUCCCAGUUCGGAUUGGAGUCUGCAAUUCGACUCCAUGAAGUUGGAAUCGCUAGUAAUCGCAGAACAGCAUGCUGCGGUGAUACGUUCCCGGGCCUUGUACACACCGCCCGUCACGCCAUGGAAGUUGGGAGUACCCAAAGUUGCUGUC